rnacentral:rRNA from 1 species
AUACGUAGGGUGCAAGCGUUAAUCGGAAUUACUGGGCGUAAAGCGUGCGCAGGCGGUUUUGUAAGACAGAGGUGAAAUCCCCCGGCUCAACCUGGGAACUGCCUUUGUGACUGCAAGGGUAGAGGAAGGCAGAGGGGGGUGGGAUUUCGCGUGUAGCAGUGAAAUGCGUAGAUAUGCGGAGGAACACCGAUGGCGAAGGCAAUCCCCUGGGCCUGUACUGACGCUCAUGCACGAAAGCGUGGGGAGCAAACAGGAUUAGAUACCCUGGUAGUCCACGCCCUAAACGAUGUCAACUGGUUGUUGGGUCUUCAUUGACUCAGUAACGAAGCUAACGCGUGAAGUUGACCGCCUGGGGAGUACGGCCGCAAGGUUGAAACUCAAAUGAAUUGACGGGG